UUUUUAAAACAUGUUUUUUUGAUUAUAAUUUAAGAUUGACCCUGCCCAAUGAUUUUUAAAUGGCUGCAGUAUUUUGACUGUACAAAGGUAGCAUAAUAAAUUGUUUUUUAAUUGAAAGCUUGAAUGAAGGGGGUGAUAAGAUAUAUACUUUAUUUAAAUAAAAUUUUUAAUUUAAUUUUUUUAUAAAAAAGUAUAAAUAUUUAAAUGGGACGAGAAGACCCUAUAGAAUUUUAUAUUCGUAUAAUAUUUUUAAAUUUUAUAUUGAUUUUAAGAUUUAUAUAUAUAUUUAAUUGGGAGGAUUAUUAAAUUUAAAUAACUUUAUUUAAUUAUUAUCCAAUAAUAAUUGAUUAAAAUGAUUUUAUUUUAUUAAAUUUAAGAUUAAAUUACCUUAGGGAUAACAGCGUUAUAUUUUUGGAGAGUUCAUAUUAAUAAAAAUGUUUGCGACCUCGGUGGUA
rnacentral:rRNA from 1 species